rnacentral:rRNA from 1 species
GAUGAACGCUGGCGGCGUGCCUAAUACAUGCAAGUCGAGCGAACAGACGAGGAGCUUGCUCCUCUGACGUUAUCGGCGGACGGGUGAGUAACACGUGGCUAACCUACCUAUAAGACUGGGAUCACUUCGGGAAACCGGAGCUAAUACCGGAUAAUAUAUUGAACCGCAUGGUUCAAUAGUGAAAGACGGUUUUGCUUUCCCUUAUAGAUGGAUCCGCGCCCAUUAGCUAGUUGGUAAGGUAACGGCUUACCAAGGCAACGAUGCGUAGCCGACCUGAGAGGGUGAUCGGCCACACUGGAACUGAGACACGGUCCAGACUCCUACGGGAGGCAGCAGUAGGGAAUCUUCCGCAAUGGGCGAAAGCCUGACGGAGCAACGCCGCGUGAGUGAUGAAGAUCUUCGGAUCGUAAAACUCUGUUAUUAGGGAAGAACAAAUGUGUAAGUAACUAUGCACGUCUUGACGGUACCUAAUCAGAAAGCCACGGCUAACUACGUG